UGUUGGAGAAAAAGGGCAUUUGAAACGAGGGAAGGUGUAGGUGGCGGAAGCCCCCGAGCCCCGAAGACCCAGCGCGGCUGGCUGCCAGCCCCUCUCCAGGGACGCUGGCCCAUGAAAGGCAGACAGGAAGAGAGACCAAGAGAGCUCACAAACGGGGCGUCCUCCCACCUGAGGGAGGAUUCAGGGCUCAACACGCUUCCUGGGGCCAGUUGUUCUCUGCCGGUGCCAGCCCUGACAUCAGCCCGCAAGCUUGCCACGCUGGUUCAGACCCGACCCCAAAGGCCGCCCCUGACCCGGCCCUGGCUCGCCGACCGACCACCCCCAGAACGCCGGCUGUGGUGCUGCUGCUGGAGGGGGCGCCGGUGGAUGAGACCUGAGGUGUCCCAGACCCGCUAGCCUGGGGGCCUGGGGAAUCCAGCUUGACCGAAAGAGAGAACUCGUGCAGUGGGGAUUGCUACUUUCAGAAGGAAACUGGAGAAGGUCGUGAACAUUCACCCCAGUCCUUUUUAUCCAGCGAGAUUCACGCCUGGAAAACUGCUGUCUGGUCAGAAAGACUUUGCUGAGAAGAGCCAAGAGCUGAAACCCAGCCGAGGUGUUUCAGGAAAGAGGAGGACCACACAUCCCCAUUCAUUGACAUGUGACCACAGAGGAUCCCUCCCUGCCACUUCCAGGCUUGGCCAUGUGACCUGCCUUGGCUGGUGGAAUAUGAAUGGAUACGACAGAAGCCAUGUCUCUGCAACUUUGAGAGCAGUUACAUGGCUUGGUUCUGCCUCUUGUUCUUUUCCCUUUGCCAAGAGAACACAAUGUCUUGACUGUGGGCUGCUCCUUCAGCACAUGUCCCAGAACGAGAAGGAGCAUGGAGCAGAGCCACAGUGGCCACCAUGCAGCUCUCAACACGAGCAAGAUUGAAGCUGAUUUUUGUUACUGCAGCACAACUUAGCAAGCUCUGACAAAUACAGAAGGCUCUACUGGACAUCUCGGGGUAUAUCUAUCCAGCUUUCCUUCCUCCCAAAUGGAGACCACAAUGCUGCCACCUACAAGCUGUGUGAUUUUGAGAAAAAUCACAGAACGUCUUGGCCUCAAAUUUCUACACUAACAGACAGAGCUUUCUCCCAGCUUUCUGACCAGCAAUUCUGAAGAACUAGCCUAUCACUUGACACUUGACCCCUGUCGUUCAUGAGUUAUCUUUGCACGUGGUAGUAUCAUACCAGGGAAGUCCCCCCAAAUUUUGAGUCCAACAGCUAUGUAUUCUUGAGCAAAUUGUUUUAUCUCUCUUAUCUGUAAAAUUUUUCUCCUCUAUUAAAGGAAAAUGCAUCACACAGCAUUGGGGUAUGUCAUCUAGCUCAUAGAAUGUACUCAAUAAAUCGAAGUGCCCUCCCUUUCUCUUACCUUCUUGAUCAGAUUGAGUCCUUUGAGAUACACUUCUUUGAGUCUGACAUGCCCUGAACCUGGGGUUUCCUCAGGGAGGGGGUGACAAAAUCCCUGGAUAAAAACCCACAGAGGUGUAUGCAGAUAUUCAUAGCAGCAUUAUUCAUAAAGGUCCAAAAGUGCAAACAA